AUUGAACGCUGGCGGCAGGCUUAACACAUGCAAGUCGAGCGAGCGGCGGACGGGUGAGCAAUGUCUGGGAAACUGCCUGAUGGAGGGGGAUAACUACUGGAAACGGUAGCUAAUACCGCAUACCAUCAGAUGUGCCCAGAUGGGAUUAGCUAGUAGGUGGGGUAAUGGCGCACCUAGGCGACGAUCCCUAGCUGGUCUGAGAGGAUGACCGUCCACACUGGAACGGAGACACAGUCCAGACUCCUACGGUAGGCAGCAGUGGGGAAGAUUGCCCAAUGGGCGAAAACCUGAUGCAGCCCUGCCGCGUGUGUGAUGAAGGCCUUCGGGUUUUAAAGCACUUUCAGCGAGUAGGCGUUACUCGCAGAAGAAGCACCGGCUAACUCCGUGCCAGCAGCCGCGGUGAUAC
rnacentral:rRNA from 1 species